rnacentral:rRNA from 1 species
UACGAGAGGCCCAAACGUUAUUCGGAAUUACUGGGCUUAAAGAGUUCGUAGGCGGUAUUGCAAGUAGGGUGUGAAAGCCCUCGGCUCAACCGAGGAAUUGCGCUCUAAACUGCAGUACUUGAGGACCUAGAGGUGAGCAGAACAGAUGGUGGAGCGGUGAAAUGCGUUGAUAUCAUCUGGAAUACCGGAGGCGAAGGCGGCUCACUGGGAGUUUUCUGACGCUGAGGAACGAAAGCCAGGGUAGCGAACGGG